UACGAAGGGGGCUAGCGUUGUUCGGAAUUACUGGGCGUAAAGCGCGCGCAGGCGGUCUUCCAAGUCAGUGGUGAAAGCCCGGAGCUCAACUCCGGAACUGCCAUUGAAACUGUGAGACUUGAGGAUGAGAGAGGUGAGUGGAACUCCCAGUGUAGAGGUGAAAUUCGUAGAUAUUGGGAAGAACACCGGUGGCGAAGGCGGGACUCUGGGCCGAUACUGACGCUGAGGAGCGAAAGCGUGGGGAGCAAACAGG
rnacentral:rRNA from 1 species